UGCCUGGCGGCUUUAGCGCGGUGGUCCCACCUGACCCCAUGCCGAACUCAGAAGUGAAACGCCGUAGCGCCGAUGGUAGUGUGGGGUCUCCCCAUGCGAGAGUAGGGAACUGCCAGGCAUU
rnacentral:rRNA from 1 species